AUUGAACGCUGGCGGCAUGCUUUACACAUGCAAGUCGAACGGUAACAGGCCUUCGGGUGCUGACGAGUGGCGAACGGGUGCGUAAUGCAUCGGAACGUGCCCAGAGGUGGGGGAUAACGCAGCGAAAGCUGUGCUAAUACCGCAUGUGAUCUGAGGAUGAAAGCGGGGGACCAGGCAGCAAUGUUUGGCCUCGCGCCUUUGGAGCGGCCGAUGUCAGAUUAGGUAGUUGGUGGGGUAAAGGCCUACCAAGCCGACGAUCUGUAGCUGGUCUGAGAGGACGAACAGCCACACUGGGACUGAGACACGGCCCAGACUCCUACGGGAGGCAGCAGUGGGGAAUUUUGGACAAUGGGCGCAAGCCUGAUCCAGCAAUGCCGCGUGCGGGAAGAAGGCCUUCGGGUUGUAAACCGCUUUUGUACGGAACGAAAAGGCUCUGGCUAAUACCUGGGGCUGAUGACGGUACCGUAAGAAUAAGCACCGGCUAACUACGUG
rnacentral:rRNA from 1 species